AACGAACGCUGGCGGCAUGCCUAACACAUGCAAGUCGAACGAGACCUUCGGGUCUUGUGGCGCACGGGUGCGUCACGCGUGGGAACCUGCCCUUAGGUUCGGAAUAACUCCCCGACAGGGGUGCUAAUACCGGAUAAUGUCUUCGGCCCAAAGAUUUAUCGCCUUUGGAUGGGCCCGCGUUGGAUUAGCUAGUUGGUAGGGUAAAAGCCUACCACGGCGACGAUCCAUAGCUGGUCUGAGAGGAUGAUCAGCCACACUGGGACUGAGACACGGCCCAGACUCCUACGGGAGGCAGCAGUGGGUAAUAGUGGACAGUGGGCGAAAGCCUGAUCCAGCAAUGCCGCUUGAGUGAUGAAGUCCUUAGGGUUGUAAAGCUCUUUUACCCGGGAUGAUAAUGACAGUACCGGGAGAAUAAGCUCCGGCUAACUCCGUG
rnacentral:rRNA from 1 species